CCGCUGAAUUUAAGCAUAUAACUAAGCGGAGGAAAAGAAACUAACCAGGAUUCCCUCAGUAACGGCGAGUGAAGCGGGACGAGCCCAGCACCGAAUCCCCCGGCCGGACGGCCGGCGGGAACUGUGGUGUGCGGGACGCCACCAGUCGCGUCUGCCGGCGCCGAAGUCCUCCUGAUCGAGGCCUCUCCCACGGCGGGUGUAAGGCCUUUGCGGGCGACGGCGGGCGCGGCCGCGAGCGUCCCAGGAGUCGGGUUGUUUGGGAAUGCAGCCCUAAGCGGGUGGUAAACUCCAUCUAAGGCUAAAUACUGGCGCGAGUCCGAUAGCGGACAAGUACCGUGAGGGAAGGUUGAAAAGAACUUUGAAGAGAGAGUUCAGUCAUAGCUGUUUCCUG
rnacentral:rRNA from 1 species